rnacentral:rRNA from 1 species
CUACGGGUGGCUGCAGUGGGGAAUAUUGCACAAUGGGCGCAAGCCUGAUGCAGCCAUGCCGCGUGUAUGAAGAAGGCCUUCGGGUUGUAAAAUACUUUCAGCGGGGAGGAAGGGAGUAAAGUUAGUACCUUUGCUCAUUGACGUUACCCGCAGAAGAAGCACCGGCUAACUCCGUGCCAGCAGCCGCGGUAAUACGGAGGGUGCAAGCGUUAAUCGGAAUUACUGGGCGUAAAGCGCACGCAGGCGGUUUGUUAAGUCAGAUGUGAAAUCCCCGGGCUCAACCUGGGAACUGCAUCUGAUACUGGCAAGCUUGAGUCUCGUAGAGGGGGGUAGAAUUCCAGGUGUAGCGGUGAAAUGCGUAGAGAUCUGGAGGAAUACCGGUGGCGAAGGCGGCCCCCUGGACGAAGACUGACGCUCAGGUGCGAAAGCGUGGGGAGCAAACAGGAUUAGAUACCCGUGUAGUC